GAAUCAUUUCCACAUGUUAUACUCUUGCUCCUUAGCGCGGGAUGUGCACACCAGCAGCCACUGACUCACCAGGUGCUCAUGAGAAAUGCAGAAUCGCAGCUCUACCAGCCAUAGAAUCAAACAGGUUCUCCAGUUGGUCCGGAUGCACAUUAAACUUUGAAAAAUACUAUGUUCCAUCAUGUGAUGCUGACAACAUAAUCUGAAUUUCCUAAGCAGGGUCCUGAGAUGGUCUGUGAUUGUCUGUGGGAUCAGAGCAUCAAGAAUGGCUAUGAAACUGAACUGGAUUUCCCCCUCCUUCACCUACCCACGCCGGAGUCAGCCCAGACUGCUGAGAACCUAGCUCACCACGCAGUCACGUUUCUAAAGUACCUGCUUCCAGGAAGUUGUGAUCUAUCUCGUGUGUGCCAUCUACCAGCAACCUGCUUUCUCACCUCAUAUGAUCUCUCAUGGGGCACGCUGUGCUUUGACACAGGUGCUGGAUGUCACCAGCUGAAGUUCUUCAAGAUUGUCUCCCCACUGUCUCCUGGCCCCAGUGUAGUACUCGAGGCUCUCCACCUUGUAUUUUUUUAAAAGCUUUUAACCCUGUCCUGAUGGAAGAAGCUUAGAAAUGCUUUCUUAAUCCAAAAGAAUCAUUCAGCAAAUAUCCUUUUGAAGGUUCCAUUUCAGGAAAUUAGGACAAAGACAGAGACAAUUAAAAUGUCAUUCAGAGUCGAUCCAGUUGAGGUCAACACAUCACAUCCUCAAACUAAUGAAGCAGGAACGUACAGAGCUGAUAGCCCCUUGCCUCAAAAGUGAUUCCUGUGCUUUAAAACAGUAAAACAAAAAUCCUGGUAGAAUUUUCUUAAGCAUAGCAAUUCAGUACAGUUUCUUAUUCUCAAGAGAGUUUAAAUAAAUUUGUGUAGUAAGAACUUGAAAUUAAGGAAAUUACCUAAAGUAAGAGGUUUAGUUUUUCUUAAAAAGGAUCACAGAACUUGGGCUAGUGUUGUGGUUCACUGGUAGAGCGCUAGUCUAGCGUGUGCAAGGCCCUGAGUUCGAUGCUCAGCACCACAUAAAAAUAAAUAAAUGAAAUAAAGAUAUAUAUAUCUCCACAGAACUUGAUGGCUUUUGCUGGUGUCCAGCUCCUUGGCCAUCCGGUGGGGCCUUUGGUGUAAGAAACUAUGUAGGGGGGAGUCAAAAGCAGGGACUGCAUCAGAGUAGAGGCUCCGUUUUCAAACAGGGACCAUCUCUGCAGGAGCAAGAGGAGUGUGGGGCAUUCCCCAUCCUUCUCAGCUCCUGUGCAUAUAGAUGUCCCCUUUAGAGACAGAGCUAAGAGCAUGGGGACAGGGCUGCAUUUGAGGAGGCCAGUGGUGAUGUUCAUGGGUCCCAGUAGUCCUCUCUGGGAAUGUGCCAGUGGCUCAUCCCUGUUGGUGUGCAUUUCCAGCUGCCAGAGGAUGGUGAGUUGACCCAUGCGGAAGAGGCUGAGCCAGGGACUACCUUUCCACCACCAGGGACUGAGGCCUUCAUGGGAGCUCGCCCACUUUCCUCCUUGAUGGAGAUUACCCUUGGGCUCUGGAGGGGCCACCUUCCAACUGUCUCCAUCUGUCGGAGAGCCUGUGGUCAUGAUGGAAGAGUCAAGGUUGAUUCCAGUGCCCUCGGCCCGAC
rnacentral:lncRNA from 1 species